rnacentral:rRNA from 1 species
CAAUAGCGUAUAUUAAAGUUGUUGCAGUUAAAAAGCUCGUAGUUGGAUUUGUGGUUCGUCCCGCCGGCUGGGUCAAUGACUUUUGCUGUGCUGGUCGUCCAUCCUUGGGUGGAAUCUGUGUGGCAUUAGGUUGUCGCGCAGGGGAUGCCCAUCGUUUACUGUGAAAAAAUUAGAGUGUUCAAAGCAGGCUUAUGCCGUUGAAUAUAUUAGCAUGGAAUAAUAAUAUAGGACCUUGGUACUAUUUUGUUGGUUUGCGCACUGAGGUAAUGAUUAAUAGGGACAGUUGGGGGUAUUCGUAUUCCAUUGUAAGAGGUGAAAUUCUUGGAUUUUUGGAAGACGAACUACUGCGAAAGCAUUUACCAAGGAUGUUUUCAUUAA